GCCCCCAUGGCCUAAUGGAUAAGGCGCUUGACUUCUAAUCAAGCGAUUGUGGGUA
rnacentral:tRNA from 1 species